AAAUUUUAAGUUUAAAACAUUAUAUUUUCAAUAUAAAAAAAAAAAAUUUA
rnacentral:tRNA from 1 species